rnacentral:rRNA from 1 species
AUUGAACGCUGGCGGCAGGCCUAACACAUGCAAGUCGAACGAGUGGCGGACGGGUGAGUCAUGUAUGGGAAACUGCCUGAUGGAGGGGGAUAACUACUGGAAACGGUAGCUAAUCCCGCAUACCAUCGGAUGUGCCCAGAUGGGAUUAGCUAGUAGGGGGGGUAACGGCUCACCUAGGCGACGAUCCCUAGCUGGUCUGAGAGGAUGACCAGCCACCCGGGAACGGAGACACGGUCCAGCCUCCUACGGGAGGAAGCAGUGGGGAACAUUGCACAAGGGGCGAAAGCCUGAUGCAGCAAUGCCGCGGGUAGGAAGAAGUCCUUCGGGUUGUAAAGUACGUUCAGAGGGGAGGCGUUACCCGCAGAAGAAGCACCGGCUAACUCCGUGCCAGCAGCCGCGGUAAUAC